rnacentral:rRNA from 1 species
UAAAUUGAUAUUAUUUAUAAUAAAUAUAUAUAUUUAUAGUAAUAUUUUUUGAAAAAAAUAAUAUAAUUAUAAUUUAUGUACUGUAAAGGAUUUAAUUUAUUAUAAUAAAAGAACUUACUUUUAAGGUACCUUUUGUAUCAGGGUUUAUCAAUUUAAACUUAUUAAUUUUAUUAAGUUUCCCGAAAUUUAAAGAUAUAUAUAUUUAUGUAUUAGUAAAUUGUAAAUUAUUUUAUAAUAUUUAUAUAGGGGUUAUAUGCUUUUCAAUUUAAAUAUAUCUGGUUACUUUUUAAAUAAAUUUAAUUUAAAAUCAAAUUGAUAUUAUAAAAAUUAAUUUUUUUUUUAAUUUGGUUAAAUCAUUAAAGGGAUAAUCUUUUAAUGAAUUUUAUAAUUUUUAGCUUUUUCUUUAAACUUAAUUAGGAUUAAUAUUUUCUAUAUUUAUAUUUUUAUAAAUAAAGUUUAAAAAAUUUUAAUUUUUUUUAAUUUAAAAUUUUAGAAAGUUAUUUUAUUUAAUAAAUUAUUAUAUUAAAUAAUGAUAAAAUAAGUAUAAAUUUCAAUAUUUAAUUUAAGAACUCGGCAAUUUUAAUUUUCGACUGUUUAAUAAAAACAUUUCUUUUUGGUUUUUUAAAAAGUAAAACCUGCUCAAUGAUUUCUUAAAUAGCCGCGUUAUAACCGUGCUAAGGUAGCAUAAUAAUUUGUCCUUUAAUUAAGGUCUAGUAUGAAUGGUUAAACGAAAGAUUAACUUUUUUAAUUAAAUUAAUUUUAAUUUUAUUUUUUAGUUAAAAAGCUAAAAUAGUAUUAUAGGACGAUAAGACCCUAUAGAAUUUUAUUUAAAUAUGUCUAUUUUAUUAUUAUUUUGAAUAUAAUAUGUAUUUUAUUAAUUUGAUUGGGGUGAUUUUUAUAUUUUAUAAACUAUAAUAUAAUAUUUUUCAUGAAUUAAUGAAUUUUUGAUCCUUAAUUUGAGAUUAUUAGAAAAAAUUACCUUAGGGAUAACAGCGUGAUUUUCUUGGAGAGCUCUUAUUAAUAAGAAAGUUUGCGACCUCGAUGUUGGAUUAAAAUAUAAUUGUGGUGUAGAAGCUAUAAAUUUAAGUCUGUUCGACUUUUAAAAUUUUACAUGAUCUGAGUUAAGACCGGCGUGAGCCAGGUUGGUUUCUAUCCUUAAUUUUGUUAAAUAAUUUAGUACGAAAGGACCAAUUAUUUCAAAUAUAUUUGAAAUU